GCUAUGAUAAUUUUAUUUAAUAAAAGAUCCAAAAUUUGAUCAGCAGGUUUGUAAAUGAUGAACACGUGCGAUAUAUGCUUAUAGUGCUGGAUUAUAGGACAGACUGUGCUCAAAAUACAAAACAAAGUGUGUAAAUCCAGUCUAAUGAUGUUAGUCCAUUUCCUACAUUCCCCAUCAUUAUAUAUCUGCAAGUGUAGGUGUCUACAGCUGUAAUUC